UACGGGGGGAGCAAGCGUUGUUCGGAUUUACUGGGCGUAAAGGGCGCGUAGGCGGCCACCGCAGGUCGACUGUGAAAUCUCCGGGCUUAACCCGGAAAGGUCAGCCGAUACUGCGGGGCUAGAGUGCAGAAGGGGCAACUGGAAUUCUCGGUGUAGCGGUGAAAUGCGUAGAUAUCGAGAGGAACACCUGCGGCGAAGGCGGGUUGCUGGGCUGACACUGACGCUGAGGCGCGAAAGCUAGGGGAGCGAACGGG
rnacentral:rRNA from 1 species